ACAAACAAAAACAAACAAAAAAAAAAAAAAAAAGAAAACAGACAUUAGACAUAGAGAAUAUACCUGGUCAACAUCACUAAAAGUUAUUGAUGUUAGCCAGCAAUGUUAAGGCAUUUGGCAACAAAGCCACAGCCCUCAUAAGAAAGCAGACCUGUGUCAUAUUUAACGAGGCCUGCAAAUAAUCCAAGUGUCAAUAAAGUGACCUCAGAAGAAAAUUAGAGCUGUGAAACCGGUCAAUGCCACGUUAUUAAAAACGUGAAGGCAUCAGUUAGCGUUCAAAUAACAGAUUGUUAGUGGUAGUUGUAGGCCUUAAAACCCUUGACAUGUUACAUGUUAACUGAAUUUGUGAUGCUUUAACGCAUAGCCUAGCCUGUAACAGACUGAUCGGCCUAUAAACCAGUCAGUUAAAUUAGCCAACUCAAGAUUCACCUGCAACUUUGUUUGGCUAACACAUUAGCUGUCCUGCUACCUCGCCUUAAAUGUAACAGAAACGAUGCUAUCCGUACAGGCAGCUAGUUUACAUUAGUUGAAAGUUAAAUGAUCGUACAUUAAAUGAGCUCCAGAGCUUACUUUAGCUUAUGUGCUAUUCAAAUUUGUGAGCGGAUAUGGCUACCCUUAAUACAAAAAAAAAUCGAAAUCACUAGAAAGCAACAGCUCAGUGUUAGCGUAACAUCAGCUAAAGUGUCAACACUAAUUUCUAAACCAUCAUCAAUAUCGCUUCGCGAUUUCACUUCCCCGGACUUAUCGUCCUUUGGAAUCUAAGCUAAUAUACCAAAUUGUACACUUGUUCAAGGAAAUCUAUUACACUGCGCGAUUCUGUCAAUUGUAUGUGAAAUACGUAUCUAGCUAACUCAAGCUAACAUUAAUGUUCUCACUAGCGAGACUAAUGUUAACUUCACUUUAGCCCCAGACCGCAAAUGCAGCUAGCACUGAUCAACUAACGUUAGCUUAACACAGAUCAUGUUAACAAAUAAUCCGUCCACAUUAUACCAGGCUAACUUACAUUAGUCACGUUACUCCUCUGUCGCAACACAAACUAGCAGGAAGGACUGCACGAACAGAUUUCCGCGAAACUUGGAUGGAGGACGGGUCCAGACUUCUUUCAGACAUUCUUGGACACUGUCUUCCAAUCUGAAGACAGGGAAGACUGAGGACAACAAUUAAUGGCAACAAAAGUACACGGAGGGGAAGAGAAGUUUCGAUCUGAUUACAAAGGAGGGAAAGCAGCUCCUGACAAGUCACACAAACUCUUUGGAGCCCUGCUUUGAGUCUCCUUUUACCAGUCCUUUCACAAGGAAGUUAAUGAUGCUGGCAAGAAGAUGAAUCACCUCAGACAGCACACAGAGCAGCUCUGACAAGUGAGCACCAGCGAGUCUGACACCUGCAAGUACCAGAAGAAAGACUAAUAGUCAUGUCAGCUGCUACCUGUAGAGUUGAGCUAUGUCUGUCUGUGCUGAAAGAAACUGUCCCUCUGAUUGUAGGUGAAAAGCAGCCUGAAGGAUGUGGCUGGCUGGACGAAAAAACAUAAAGUCAUGUGGG